rnacentral:rRNA from 1 species
UACAGGGGGGGCAAGCGUUGUUCGGAAUUACUGGGCGUAAAGGGUGCGUAGGCGGCUUUCUAAGUUGGAUGUGAAAACUAUGGGCUCAACCCAUAGCCUGCAUCCAAAACUGGAGAGCUUGGGUUCUGGAGGGGAAAGCGGAAUUCCUGGUGUAGCGGUGAAAUGCGUAGAUAUCAGGAGGAACACCGGUGGCGAAGGCGGCUUCUGGACAGAUACCGACGCUGGAGGCACGAAAGCUAGGGGAGCAAACAGG